rnacentral:rRNA from 1 species
UACGUAGGAGGCAAGCGUUAUCCGGAUUCAUUGGGCGUAAAGAGCGCGUAGGCGGCCUAUUAAGUCAGUUGUGAAAUCUCCCGGCUCAACCGGGAGAGGUCAGUUGAUACUGGUGGGCUUGAGGACAGCAGAGGGAGGUGGAAUUCCCGGUGUAGCGGUGAAAUGCGUAGAGAUCGGGAGGAACACCAGUGGCGAAGGCGGCCUCCUGGGCUGUUUCUGACGCUGAGGCGCGAAAGCGUGGGGAGCAAACAGGAUUAGAUACCCGCGUA